rnacentral:lncRNA from 1 species
AAGCAGGUAGAUACAGGUAGGAGCUUUUGUCAUUUUCUUAAAAUGGAUACAUUCAGGUACAGCAUAUAAACAAAGCCAAUGAUUCUUAAAAUCAAGUCUGCAUGUGUCUUUGAUACCCCAAUCAGAUGAAUUCACCACUGACAAGAUUGAGGUUGUGAGUCAGGCCUAUGCCAUGAGCUCUAGGUGCCACAUGCCCCUUCCUGGAGUACUUGCUACCUUCAGCCAGACACACACUGUGCCAACUACCCACUGUCUUCCUGGUGCUCCAGAGAGUGAGAAUGUAGGAAAAGCGGUUGGUGGCAUGGAAACAGUUAAUUCUCAACUUCUUUCAGUUUGCCCAGAAUAUUCCAAGCUGUGUGAAGAAGCCCCAGUGAGUGUUUUUUCCUUUUUUGCCAAACAGCAUGUGAAACUGGAAGUCUGACAAAGGUAUUGAUAAAAAAAUAAGUUAAUUGGAAUAACUGUUUUUCUUCUGGCAUUGUUGAAUAUAUAUGCAUAUAUUUGAAUAUAUACUCAGGUUGGCAAACAGGUAUCAAUUAAAUAAUUACAGCAUAGUUAAAGGAAAAUUGUUUUAAUUUUAAAUUUGAAAAUAUACAGUGUUUUUAAAAAUAGGUUGAUAUGAAACGCCUUAAUUGUUGUUUCUUGGGAAAAACUAGCCCUUAUUCUAGAAUGUUUAUUUUCUUAUUCUUUAUGAUGAAACAUACAACUUUUUUAUUAAAUAAUGGUGGUAGUUGGUAAAAUAAAAUGUGGCAAUCUGACAUCAUCCUUCAUUCAUUUCAUUUUUUUUAUAGUUAUAAAGCCCCUUUCUUUUUUUUUAAUGGUUUCCCAAUCUUUAUUUUCAUGACAUUAACAUUUUUGAAGAGUGUUGGCCAGUUACUUCAAAUAGCCUUCAAUUUGGGCCUGUUUUUUCUUUUUUUUAAAAUUAUUAUUAUACUUUAAGUUUUAGGGUUACAUGUGCACAACGUGCAGGUUUGUUACAUAUGUAUACAUGUGCCAUGUUGGUGUGCUGCACCCAUUAACUCGUCAUUUAGCAUUAGGUAUAUCUCCUAAUGCUAUCCCUUUCCCCUCCCCCCACCCCACAACAGGCCCUGGUGUGUGAUGUUCCCCUUCCUGUGUCCAUGUGUUCUCAUUGUUCAAUUCCCACCUAUGAGUGAGAACAUGCAGUGUUUGGUUUUCUGUCCUUGCAAUAGUUUGCUGAGAAUGAUGGUUUCCAGCUUCAUCUGUGUCCCUACAAAGGACAUGAACUCAUCAUUUUUUAUGGCUGCAUAGUAUUCCAUGGUGUAUAUGUGCCACAUUUUCUUAAUCCAGUCUAUCAUUGUUGAACCAUCAUCACUGGCCAUCAGAGAAAUGCAAAUCAAAAGCACAAUGAGAUACCAUCUCACACUAGUUAGAAUGACAAUCAUUAAAAAGUCAGGAAACAACAGGUGCUGGAGAGGAUGUGGAGAAAUAGGAACACUUUUACAUGGUUGGUGGGACUGUAACCUAGUUCAACCAUUGUGGAAGUCAGUGUGGCGAUUCCUCAGGGAUCUAGAACUAGAAUACCAUUCGACCCAGCCAUCCCAUUACUGGGUAUAUACCCAAAGGAUUGUAAAUCAUGCUGCUAUAAAGACACAUGCACACGUAUGUUUCUUGAGGCACUAUUCACAAUAGCAAAGACUUGGAACCAACCCAAAUGUCAUUUCAUUUUUACUUGGUACAUGGUGUUCCUUCUCCUGGAGCUCUGUACCUUUCACUGUCUUCGUAGAUUGUUUCCUCACUUCAGUCAGUUCUCUGUUCAAGUGUUACCUCCCUGGGGAGGCUUCUACUAACCUUCCUAUUUAAAAUAGCACCAUCCACUGCAACAUGUUCCAUGCUUUUAUUCUGCUUUGUUGUUAUUCCGCUUGGUAGUUAUUACUUCUCCUGACAUUACAUCAUUUUUUUGUGUGUCACCUGUCCUCCCUGCCCUCCUCCACCAGAAUGUGGAGCUUUAUGAGGGCAGAAACCUUGUCUGUUGUGUUCUCUGCUGUAGGCUCAACAUCAAGAACAGUCCCUGGCAUGUAGGAGGCUCAUAAGAAAAUAUCUGUUAAAUGAGCAAAUAAAUGAUGAGAAGGAGUGAUGAAAGGAUUUGGGUUAGGAGAAAAAAGGUGUGUCACAUAACAGAGAACACGGAAUCCCUGAGCUUCAUCUUCUCCACUGGCCACUACCCCAUCCUCUACAGAGCUCACUUGCUUUUCUUCAGCCUGCAGAGGAGGCCUAAGCAAAGCGAUUCAAACUUUCAUGUGCAACAAAUUUCCCAGAUCUUGUGAAAAUGCAGAUUCUGACACAGUAGGUCUGAGACAGGGCUUAAAAUUCAGUAUUUCUAGGACUCUCCCAGGUGAUGCAGAUGCUGCUGGUCCACAGUCCAGGGAAGGGCAAGUAUUACAAAGCCCGCCCAACAGGCACAGGUGCUUCCCAGCCUUUCCAAUACCACCUCUCCACCCCCACUUCCCAGUAAAAACACCCAUUGAGAGGGGAAUAAUUAAAUGUAUAAAUUCUCUUCUUGAAGUUUCUAUGUUUAGGAAUCUUGUUAAGUUGUGCUUUUGGAAUAUUUGUCUCAUUAAUCUAUUUAGGAAAUGGCUUGUAUCUCUGUUUUAGAAAUAAAGUAAAAGAACGUUCUUACAGGAUUUCUCCUAUUUGAGGUCUAAUGCCACAAGCAAAGACUGUACAUUUCCCCAAGGGGUCUGGGAAAUAGAAUUUUAUAUUGCAUCCAUUUGUGGGUAGGGUAGCCCAGAAGUGUCACACAUAUUACACCUCAGUAGUUCCCCAAAGCCUCUCCGUCAUUCCAUGUCACAGCGUGCAAUUCCUACUCUACAUCCCAGUAUUGUCCAAACAAUUGACCUCCCAUAUCUUCGCACAGAAUAUCAUAAGCCUGUGCAUAAAAUAUGCAAAGAUUAUUUGGGAUUGCAUUUGGUAAAGGAAACUCUAUAGCUGAUUUUUCCCUCCUUGUCUCCAACAACUUUGUUUCAUUGUGACCAAAAGAUACAAAGUAUAGUCUAGCCCAGACAGGGGAUUUAUUUGGCAUAUCCUAAAAGAAAGAUUUCCAAAUAUUUCAGAAAAGCAUCCUAAUCUAGAAAGAAGGUGUUAUCAUUCCUAUUUCAUUAUUAAUCAUAGAAUUUAGUUUUGGAAGCCAAGGACCAAAGGUAACAUUGGACAGGGAAGAGAAACAUCUGUUAUUUUGUUCUCUCAAAUAUUUAUUUUUGUCACUUAUAUACUACAAAAGACAACUGAAUUAUUGUGGUCUGGAGUAGGCUUUUUAAAAAAGUACAUUUUGAGGGAGGAAGAAGAAAGGAAGGAUAGUUUGGAAAUAAUAUAUAGUUCCUGUUCUUAUUGACAUUGCUCGUACUUUUUAUUGUUCUUUUGAUGUUUAUGGAAGUGCUUUUAGACAUAAUUAACAAUGUGAAUCCUUUGGGAUCACACUGAAUUGUAUUAACGAACAUAAUUAUAGGUGUAGAUUUUGUGGGGAGAAAAAUGUGUCCUAUUUAAUAUGUAGUUUUAACAGGGAAAUUGAUUUGAAAACUAAGGCUAAAUUAAAUAUACUUAUGAGAACAUAUUAGUAGCACAUGCAACCUCUCUUCCUCACAGUCUACUAGGGAAGAACAGACAUAAACCUCAUUGUCUCUGCUCAGCAAGAGAUAAUAUUCCAUAAUGUCUAUGAGCUCAGGCUCUAGAAUUGGCAGAUCUGGAUUGAAAUCAGGUUGAGCAAUUAUUAAUAAUUCAAGCAAGCUUCUCUGAGACUUGAUUUUUCUUAUCUGUAAAAGGGGAUGAUAGUGAUUCAUAUCUUUCAGGGUAGCUCUGGAGGUGAAAUAGGAUAACAUGAAGUGUAUAAAGCCUAUAGUCCCAAAUAAGGGCUGAAUAAAUGUCAGCCACUACAAUUAUAAUAAUU